rnacentral:lncRNA from 1 species
CCAUGAGAUCAUGGCCUAAGCCAAAGUCUGAUGCUCAACCAACUGAGCUACCCAGGUGCCCUAGGAAGCUUGGAUCUUAAUAACUGUUGAAUAGAAUGAUGGAAAGGACAUUUAUAAUACUCUGACAUAAAAUGUUGUUUGAGUGAACACCAUAGAGGCCCAAAAUUUCUAGGUGAAAGGACACUGGGAGAACAGGAGUAGCAUGCUCCAGGAUACAACAUGGCUGGUCACCACUGCAUUUUGAGCCUCUCUGUAAAACUGCCACAAGAGGCUGCAAUUCAAUAACAAGUGGUGCAACUUGGCAAGGAAAAUAAGUAAAGCCUGGUGACGAGAAGGAAAAAAAAUGCAAGAGAAUGAAAAUCGUGAGCCAAACAAUACGAGAACAGCUUCCUACCCCUAUCGUUACCCCAUGGCCCGGGCCCCCAGCAUUGGUGGCAUUAUCUCUGCACAGCCAGAAUUUUAGGAAAUGCCUGCCAAUAUUGACAUUUCCCCACAUAAUGAAAUCAAGGUGGAUUGGUGAACAGUCACUUUAAAAGUUAAUUGUUGAAAACCUGCAGGUUAGAGCUCU